rnacentral:tRNA from 1 species
GCCUGGCUGGCUUAGUUGUAGAGCAUGCGACUCUUGAUCUUGGGGUUGUGAGUUCGAGCCCCAUGUUGGGUG